rnacentral:rRNA from 1 species
AGAGUUUGAUCCUGGCUCAGAUUGAACGCUGGCGGCAGGCCUAACACAUGCAAGUCGAGCGGAUGAGUGGAGCUUGCUCCAUGAUUCAGCGGCGGACGGGUGAGUAAUGCCUAGGAAUCUGCCUGGUAGUGGGGGACAACGUUUCGAAAGGAACGCUAAUACCGCAUACGUCCUACGGGAGAAAGCAGGGGACCUUCGGGCCUUGCGCUAUCAGAUGAGCCUAGGUUGGAUUAGCUAGUUGGUGAGGUAAAGACUCACCAAGGCGACGAUCCGUAACUGGUCUGAGAGGAUGACCAGUCACACUGGAACUGAGACACGGUCCAGACUCCUACGGGAGGCAGCAGUGGGGAAUAUUGGACAAUGGGCGAAAGCCUGAUCCAGCCAUGCCGCGUGUGUGAAGAAGGUCUUCGGAUUGUAAAGCACUUUAAGUUGGGAGGAAGGGCAGUAAGCUAAUACCUUGCUGUUUUGACGUUACCGACAGAAUAAGCACCGGCUAACUUCGUGCCAGCAGCCGCGGUAAUACGAAGGGUGCAAGCGUUAAUCGGAAUUACUGGGCGUAAAGCGCGCGUAGGUGGUUCAGCAAGUUGGAUGUGAAAGCCCCGGGCUCAACCUGGGAACUGCAUCCAAAACUACUGAGCUAGAGUACGGUAGAGGGUGGUGGAAUUUCCUGUGUAGCGGUGAAAUGCGUAGAUAUAGGAAGGAACACCAGUGGCGAAGGCGACCACCUGGACUGAUACUGACACUGAGGUGCGAAAGCGUGGGGAGCAAACAGGAUUAGAUACCCCGGUAGUCC